CCGCGGUAAUACCAGCUCCGCUAGCCUAUACAAUCAUUGWUGCGGUUAAGAGGCUCGUAGUUGGAUUGAAUAAACAAUUUUAAAAUAUAUUAUUUAUAAAUAUGUAAAAAAAAAAAAAAUAUCAAAUUAUAUUAAAACAUUUUUUUUAUAUAUUAAAAAAUAUAUAUUUUCUAUAUCAACACUGUGAACAAAUCAGAAUUUGACCAAAAUAUGCUUUUUGAAUAGUUUUAACAACUGUUUAANAUCUUAGGCAAUGACUGUUUUUCAUGGAAUGUUGCUAUUAAAUAAAAAAAAAAAAUNCCAAAAAAAAANUAUNNNUNUUAAAAACAAUUUUUUUUUUGUAUUUAAUAAAAUUUGUCGAUGGRGAUAGUUGGAGUUAACAGUAUUGUUCGGCGAGCGGUGAAAUGCGUUGACCCCUNCAAGACUACCNGCAGCGAAAGCGGNUAGCUAGGCUAUACUCUUAGGGCUUUUUUUUUUUAAAUUUUAAAAAUUUAUUUAUAAUUAUCAAUUUAAUUAUUAUUUUUAAAAAAAAAAUUUUUAACACUUUACAAUGAAGAGCGAAGGUUAGGGGAUCAAAGWSGAUCAGAUACCCACGUAGUCCUAUUUUUUACACCAAACUAUGGGAUCUCAGUUGCAAACUAAAUUUAAUUUAUUUUAAAACUGUUAAUACAAACUUUGAACUUUUUUUUAAAAUAUGUUCCUAGCCUGCAAAAUUAAUUUAUAAUUUUUUUAUUAUAAAUUUAAGAUGCUAUUUAUGUCUAUUUUCAUAUUUACAACUAAAGUUGUUUUGUAAAUAUAACAUGCCUAAAAUGAAUUAUAUAAUUACUUAAAAAAAAAUGGAAAAUUUCUUUUUUUAUUUUUUGAUUUUAUAAGCUUUGCGCUCAUAAUAAAAUCGGUUAGAUGUAAACACUUUAAAAUUUUUUCUUUUUAGAAAAUUUAUUUUUUAAUUCGAAUUAAUUGUUUAAUUUGUGGAUCAUAAUUUCUUUUUAUCUAAUAAAAAGUUUAUUAUGUGAUACAUUAAUAAACCAGUGUAAUGCACGUGUUAGGCAUGUGUUUACUACAGAAAUGUUUAAGACAUUCCUCUCCGGGGGUAGUAUGCUCGCAAGAGUGAAACUUGAAGGAAUUGACGGAAGGGCACCACAAGAUUGCGUGGAGUAUGUGGCUUAAUUUGACUCAACACGGGAAAUCUUACCGGGUCCGGACACACUGAGGAUUGACAGACAUAUUAUAAUUUACAUUUUUUUGUAUUUUAUAUAAAUAUGAAGUUCUUUCAUGAUUAUGUGAUAGGUGGUGCAUGGCCGUUYUUAGUUCGUGAAGUGAUUUGUCUGCUUAAUUGCGUUUCAAUUAUAUAGUGCAGAAUUUAAACUAUUAAAAUAUUUAAUAUUUUAAAGUUGAUUUUGUAUCUUCUUUUGAAUGCAACGAACGUGACCGUAAUACAUUUUUGCAUUUCCAUUAAAAUUAUUUUUUUAAUUUUACAUAAAUGCUUUUAAAAAUAUGUAGACCGCUGUUUUUCUAAAUUCUUAAACCAGAGUAAGGAUACGGCAAUAACAGGUCUGUGAUGCCCUUAGAUGUUCCGGGCUGCACACGUGCUACAAUGAUUAUAACAGUAAGUAUUAAAACAAAAGUUCAAUGAUAAUUUAUUAGAUUUGAAUGAUUAAUACCUUAAUUGAUAAAUAAAUUUUUUUAGGUAAUCAAUUGUAAAUUAUGAUUUCCUUAUACAUAUAUGAGUUACAGAUGAUGUUAUUUAAAAACGAUGUUUACAUUUUUUUUUUUAACAUUAAAAUAUAUUAAGUUAUUUCUCCGUUGGGAUAGACAAUUGUACAUAAAAAUACUUUUUUCUUUUUUUUUUUUAAGGAAAGUUAAAGGUAUAAUAUUUUUAAUUAUUUGUCUUGCCUAACUAGGAAUGCCUCGUACAGUUCUUUGGUUCAUCAGACCAACUGGAAUACGUCCCUGCCCUUUGUACACACCGCCCGUCGCUCUUACCGAUGAAUUAAAUUAUGAAUUUAAAGGACUUGACCCUUUUGUUAGGAAAUUUAAAUGAAUAAUAUAAUUUAAAGGAAAGAGAAGUCGUAACAAGGCAUCGGUAGGUGAACCU
rnacentral:rRNA from 1 species